CUGGCACGGACUUCAGGCCGGAAUUGAUCAUCCCGACUUGAUACAAAGUGGCUGAUAAGUCGAGCAAUUCCAGACUUCAUUAGUAAUUUGAAGUGAUCCUAGAAGGAUUUAGCUCAGACUUGACCGCUGUGCCUUUCCGAAUUCAGAUGCUGGCAUACUGUACCUGUGGAGUAGAUGUCAUAAUCUCCAGGAACAACCGGACUGCUUGAAGGUGCAAUAGUUCGGCCCGAGGCUCCUGUGCUGAAUAGUCCAAGACUGCCCCUCUUCCACGAUUAAAAGCUCAUUGUUCAGAAUCCAAGGAGGUUGUCCUCAGUGAUAGAACCAUUCUCACCAAUACAUGCACUUGUCGACGCAGUGUGAAAGUGGACGUUCUGGGACCCAGCUCGAUCCACCGGCAUGUUGGGUGUUUCGCCUUCGGAACCAGAACCUACUCAUCGGGAAGAGGAUGGCGCG
rnacentral:sRNA from 2 species